CCGUAUUUUCAAAUAGAAGACCUACAAGAAGAACACUGUUUUACAACCAGAAUCUGAGAAGACAUAGCAAAAAGUGGGGCAAAGAAGCCCUGGACCAACUCCAAAAAUUACCUAACUGCUCUUUUAAUUGGACAAUAUUUGUUAAGAUCAGUAAUUUGUUAAACUUAUAAAUUUGUAGAGAUCCAGUACUGGAUGUGUCCAUGAUCAUUGGCACACCUGGAAGCUUCCAAUCAAGAUUUGCUUUUUAUUUCACGAUUUCAGCACUGUUACAAGGGUUUUUCUCUUUCAAUACCAGGCAGCAGCACCAACAGUCAGCAGUGACAGGGCUUUUCACCCCCUGACACAGCAGAAGACUCAUCUACUUCCCCAAAUCUAAACUAGGCCCUCACAGUUUGUUUUGUGAUGAAUUAUCUCAGCUGAAAAACACUCUUAGGCACAACAAACAUCCUGCCUUGAAUGCGUGGGGAAGGAUAAGCAGAAAUAAGUGACUGACAGACAACUACUUCUGCCAUUAUAAAAGACUGCUGUGAUUUUCAUAAAAUCAGAAAUCUCUUAUACACUCUCUGAGUGUGUGGAGAGUUCUCCUCAAAGCUGAGAUGUUGGUAUCAAGACACUUCCCUGGGACUGAGAGAAAUUAGGAGACUUCAGCACAUCACUGUCAUUCACUGCCUUAACGUGAUUUCACAUGGAAGCAGACCACACUAUGGAGCCAGCUGGAAGGGGAGAAUCCUGCCUGUUCUCCUAAGACCACAGCAGGCAGAUUAUUGUGCAGGAAAACCUCUUCAUCUGGUUGGGAAAAGCAGAGGCAAGAGUUCUACCCACAGGGGCCACCCAUCAAAGGGAGAAACUCCUGGAACUGACUGGUUUGAAGCUGUCAGUUCCAAGCUUACCAAGUGCUCACUGAAAAUGAAUAAAAGGUGUCAAUUUGUGUGUAUUUUAUUUGCACUUCAUCUGCAGAAACGGAUGGAUCUUUAAGGAAAAUGUGAGGAAUGAAGGAAGGAAAUGUUCCAUGGUCUGUAUGACUAUUAAAAAUAUAGAAGGGACAUCUGAAGUAAAAUAUGGGGUAAAGAACCAAUGCAUUAACCCAGUUUAGUUCAGUGCUGUGGGAUGAUCUGAUGCAAUUCAGCAGCAGUGCUGUGGGGGUAAGAGAGGCAGUGAAGCUGCUCCCACCUGCAAUGCCUGCAAAUUAAAUAUCUCCAGUGAGGAGCAGUCCCAGGCCACCCUGCCCAGCAAAGCCACGAUCUCUGACACCAAACCAGACUGACAUAUUCAAGGUCAGAGUUUCUACCACUGUUCUCUCAAAAGAAAAGUAUUACAGGUUAAAUUUUCUUUAAAUAUGACUUUUUUUCUUAUGAUUAGCCCUAGAGUAUGUGGAAAAUACCAUGUUUUAUAUGGUCAAGUGUGCAGUUUUGACCAUUUGGCACCCACAAAACUCUUCCUGUUCUGUUUCAUGCCCACUUUAAAAGCAAGGACACAAAGCCCCCUAAAACUGACCCAGUACAUGUUUGCUCAAAUUAACUUUCCAUAAUGCAAUAAAUUAAAAUAAUGUGUUUAGAAUACAUUGUAAACUUAAGCCUCACCUGGUUAAUAUUUCCACUUAAAAAAUACUGUAGUCUAAGCUGUGUGUGCUUUUCCAAAACUUUAACACUGAGGUAAAUGUGAAUAUCUUUUCCUAUUCAUGUCUGCUAAAUUUCUCUGUAGCUGGCAGCUCUUAAAAUACAUGUACCUGUACCUAGGUAUUAUAAAAUAUAUCAGGCUGCAGAAUUAGGGGAGAAAUACACAAGGGUGAAACCCAUUAUGGACUAAUAUCCAGUAACAUGCAAUAAGAAAGAAUUCCUUUUCUUCA